UUGGGCGUAAGCGCGCGCAGGUGGUUCCUUAAGUCUGAUGUGAAAGCCCACGGCUCAACCGUGGAGGGUCAUUGGAAACUGGGGAACUUGAGUGCAGAAGAGGAAAGUGGAAUUCCACGUGUAGCGGUGAAAUGCGUAGAGAUGUGGAGGAACACCAGUGGCGAAGGCGACUUUCUGGUCUGUAACUGACACUGAGGCGCGAAAGCGUGGGGAGCGAACAGGAUUAGAUACCCUGGUAGUCCACGCCGUAAACGAAGAGUGCUAAGUGUUAGAGGGUCUCCGCCCUUUAGUGCUGCAGCUAACGCAUUAAGCACCCCGCCUGGGGAGUACGGCCGCAAGGCUGAAACUCAAAGGAAUUGACGGGGGCCCGCACAAGCUGUGGAGCAUGUGGUUUAAUUCGAAGCAACGCGAAGAACCUUACCAGGUCUUGACAUCCUCUGACAACCCUAGAGAUAGGGCCUUCCCUUUCGGGGGACAGAGUGACAGGUGGUGCAUGGUUGUCGUCAGCUCGUGUCGUGAGAUGUUGGGUUAAGUCCCGCAACGAGCGCAACCCUUGAUCUUAGUUGCCAGCAUUCAGUUGGGCACUCUAAGGUGACUGCCGGUGACAAACCGGAGGAAGGUGGGGAUGACGUCAAAUCAUCAUGCCCCUUAUGACCUGGGCUACACACGUGCUACAAUGGAUGGUACAAAGAGCCCGCAAACCCGCGAGGGCAAGCUAAUCUCAUAAAGCCAUUCUCA
rnacentral:rRNA from 1 species